rnacentral:rRNA from 1 species
ACAGCAGUCGCCGCGGGAAUACAGAGGGUGCGAGCGUUAAUCGGAUUUACUGGGCGUAAAGCGUGCGUAGGCGGCUUCUUAAGUCGGAUGUGAAAUCCCUGAGCUUAACUUAGGAAUUGCAUUCGAUACUGGGAAGCUAGAGUAUGGGAGAGGAUGGUAGAAUUCCAGGUGUAGCGGUGAAAUGCGUAGAGAUCUGGAGGAAUACCGGUGGCGAAGGCGGCCCCCUGGACAAAGACUGACGCUCAGGUGCGAAAGCGUGGGGAGCAAACAGGAUUAGAUACCCCCGUAGUCCCUGUCUCUUAUAC